AAACCAGCACCUCAAGUGGUCAGGAUGAUUAUUGGGCCUAAAGCAUCCGUAGCCGGUUUUGUAAGUUUUCGGUUAAAUCCAUACGCUCAACGUAUGGGCUGCCGGGAAUACUGCAAAACUAGGGAGUGGGAGAGGUAGACGGUACUCGGGAGGAAGGGGUAAAAUCCUUUGAUCUCUCGAUGACCACCUGUGGCGAAGGCGGUCUACCAGAACACGUCCGACGGUGAGGGAUGAAAGCUGGGGGAGCAAACCGGAUUAGAAACCCGGGUAGUCC
rnacentral:rRNA from 1 species